rnacentral:lncRNA from 1 species
UAGGGAGGAAUCUUGUUCAUUCAUUUACCCAUUCUAGCUGUGGUAACCAGACCAAAGGUGGUGUCUGGAAAGCAUGAUGAAUAUGGAGUCAGAAAACCUGAGUUCUAAUCCCACUUCUCUAAAGCUUCAGGUUCCUCUUCUACAAAAUGAAAGGAAUUAGAUGAAAUGACCCCUACUUCUUGCUUUAUAACCAUGGGUCUAGUUAACUUCCUGCAACUACACAAAAUAAUCAGAAUAUCUCAUCAUAAUCUGAUGUCGAUUUGGGUGUUAUAUCAGACUGAAAACACUGCACAUGUUCAAAAAGGGAAGGCUUUCCUUGGACAGUCUAAUGCUAUAUGAAAUAAAGAGUCAUCCAAGUCCAGUGGCAAGACAAAAGUUAGGAUCUCAAGCCUGUCUGUGAGUUAGGGGGUGUCUACCCCAGGCAUGUGAAGGCUAGAGAAUCAGACUUGCAGUCAAAAACAAGACCUCAAGACACUCUAGGUAUGUGACCCUGGGCAAGGUAUUUAACCUCUCCCAGCCUUGUUAUUCUUAUAUAACUAUAUAACUGUAUAAAAUAUUCUAUAAAAUUGGCAUAAUAACAUUUGUAGUGUUUAUCUCACUGUGUUGUUAAGAAGAUCAAAUCAUCAUUAGAUUCCUUAUUUGUAAAAUGAAGGAAAAAAAGACAUUGCAUUUGAUUCAGGGUUGUUGUGAGGAAAUAAUGAGAUUAGUUAUGUAAAGUGCUUCACAAAUCUUGAAGUGCUAUAUACAUUUUAGUUACUUUGCAAUUCCAUUGAAAUGUUCACUAUUGAGAGUUGGACUCUUAGCAUAGUUAUCUGAUCACUUUGUAUCCCCAGUUCCUCGAUCAGGGGUUUUCCCCAUAGUAGACAGACUGGUGUUAAAUUUAUGGGCAUCUUUGAAAAUCAUCCUGAGCAGAUUAAAGUAGACAGGAAGAGAGGCAGGUAGAGAUGAUACUCUAAGACAAUGACUUCCAAAUGUUUUUGAUUGUGCACCUCUAUCAUUAAAAUAUUUUUGAGCUUUCAUUCUCAACAUGCAGAAAAAUAAUUUUGUACAAUAUCAGGUAUCCCUUUCAAAUUGAGACUUUUCUCAUCAAGGUUUAGGCUUAUUGGGAUUGGCAUAAGAAAUUAAAUGGGAACAUUUUUUGGAAUUUGAAGAAGAUGCAGAGGAGGUAAUGGUCAUCAGAUGAUACCUGGGGAAAAAAAACAACAACUUAGAAACUCAG